rnacentral:hammerhead_ribozyme from 1 species
ACGCUACUGAGGAGUCCCAUACCAGGACGAAACGGUCGUUCAGUGU